GGAGGGGUGGCCGAGCGGUCUAUGGCGGCGGUCUUGAAAACCGCUAACUCCUUGCGGGGUUCGUGGGUUCGAAUCCCACCCCCUCCG
rnacentral:tRNA from 1 species